GAAGAAGGCCUUCGGGUUGUAAAGCACUUUUGUCCGGAAAGAAAUCCUCUGGGUUAAUACCUCGGGGGGAUGACGGUACCGGAAGAAUAAGCACCGGCUAACUACGUGCCAGCAGCCGCGGUAAUACGUAGGGUGCAAGCGUUAAUCGGAAUUACUGGGCGUAAAGCGUGCGCAGGCGGUUUUGUAAGACGGAUGUGAAAUCCCCGGGCUUAACCUGGGAACUGCAUUCGUGACUGCAAGGCUAGAGUAUGGCAGAGGGGGGUAGAAUUCCACGUGUAGCAGUGAAAUGCGUAGAGAUGUGGAGGAAUACCGAUGGCGAAGCAGCCCCCUGGGCCAAUACUGACGCUCAUGCACGAAAGCGUGGGGAGCAAACAGGAUUAGAUACCCUGGUAGUCCACGCCCUAAACGAUGUCAACUAGUUGUUGGGGAUUCAUUUCCUUAGUAACGAAGCUAACGCGUGAAGUUGACCGCCUGGGGAGUACGGUCGCAAGAUUAAAACUCAAAGGAAUUGACGGGGACCCGCACAAGCGGUGGAUGAUGUGGAUUAAUUCGAUGCAACGCGAAAAACCUUACCUACCCUUGACAUGUACCGGAAGUCCUGCUGAGAGGUGGAUGUGCUCGAAAGAGAAC
rnacentral:rRNA from 1 species